rnacentral:lncRNA from 1 species
GGGGCCACCAAUUUUAGUGAAUUGGUAAGAAUGCACUGGACUUACAUGGUCUCAAGGAGUCGUGGUCUGACCCAGUUGACACCCUUUGGAGUCAAAAGUCACCCAGAAUUAGGGGAGCAGAAACAACAUGUGAUUUGGUUUGCAGAGGCGGGUGGAGCUCAGAGAGGCAGAGAAGAUGAGGACAGUUCACGGGAGGCCCACCUGCACUUCCUCAAUUAACUCCAUCAGAUUCCCUAAUCCCUUUCAAGAAAACUCCUUCUCACUUGCAUUUUUUGAAUGGGCUUCUAUUUAUUACAACCAAAAUAGCCCUGACUGAAAUUUACAAGCAUGUCUUACCCACCAGACUGGGACACCAUCUGCAGUCCUAGCAUCUAGUGUGGUUCUAGAUCAAUAGCUGAUUGUUAAGAGUUGAAUGAAUGAAUGAAUGAAUGAACCAAUGAAGGGACAAACAACACAGUCAGGCCUGUCCAGGCCCUCACCCUUUGCCAGCGUCCCUGCAUUCAGCCUCAGUCACUUCCCCUGGCCCCUGGUGGUCUUUUGGUUGGAAGAAUCCUCCCCUACACAUCCCAGGAUCCCAAAAGGCCAGAGGAAAAGAAGUCAGUUGAGUUACAGAGCCUGGAGUUCCCAACACACAGGGAUGUUGAGAAAGAAACUGCAGAUGGCCAAAGCAUCAUCACAGAAGACACGGUUAACCCAGGGAGGCUGGCUGUUUCCAGGGCACAGGAAAGGGCACCUGCUUUGUCGAUGAGCCAAACAACGUGCUGCCGAUGCCUUACACAAGGCAUCCUGUGCAGGUCCUGAGCCUACUGGCCCUCAGCCACUUCCCCUGCCAGCCGCAUUUCCCAGCCUCCUGCUGGGUGGGUCCAGCCAAUGGAGGCAGUGGUGGGAGAUUGGAGGGUGAGAGACAGGGAGAAGCUGAGCUAUUUCUCCUCCUCCCUCUCUGCCUCAGAUAGCACCCCGGCAAGAGCUGUGUGUGGCCACUGGACCAGCCCCCUGUGGGUCGAGCCCCCACCUGAUGACCUGACCCCUGGGCUUCAGUAACACCACCUCCUCCCUGCAGCCCCCCAGCUCACAGUUGUGUUCCUGCUGGUCUCUGGAUUGCCUCGCCCUCCCCCACUUGGCCUCCAAGCUCUGCCCUCACUUGUGUAACCAAUUCCCUGUAUUAAAGUAGCUCUGUUUGAAGUUCUCCAGGGGUUUCCAUUCCCUAGCCAAACCCGUGUGGUUGGUAUUAUUUCCGGGCUGCAAUGAGAAAACAAAACUGCAAGGAGAAGUAACUUGCCUCUGGUUAUACCGCUAGUAAGUGGCAAAGCUGCAUUUGAAGCCAGCUCUGUCUGACUCAAAGGCCACGUUUCAUCUGCACACCCCCUUCCACUGCCCUUGGGCAGCCAUCCACCCUCUAGGGGAGCUGGCCUCAGUUCCACCUGUACUGGUGCUGCCUUAGGAAGGGCUCCUAGCCCCCUCUGGAUGGGAGACGCCAGGCAAUUUAGCAGCUGUUUCCAGGCACCGUGUUAAGCCCAGACACGUGGCCCCAGUCCGAAGCUCUGUUCCUAAUGUUGGAAAAUGUUUGCCCUGUUUCUUUCCUGCAGACCGUGAGAACAGGCUGUUCCAACGAGACUUGAAAAGCUGCCUUUGGUGGACUGACUUCCCGGUCCCCUCAAAGAAUGUCAGUCCUGAGGGUCUGUAAUCCUCUCACUCCCAAAGUAAGAGGCUGGACUCCCCCAGAGGCUGACACUGAGACGAGGAUAUGAGUGGAAGUCGUUCCUUUGAGAGCCUCCCUCCCACUUGGCCACGCCCAGCCAGAGGCCUGAGGACCGCAGCGUGUAGGAGCCAGAACCGCGGAGGAAAAAGGCCAGGGGUGAAGCUGAGGCUCACGCACAUCCCCAGUCAUUACGAACCGUCAUGCGCUUUACAGAAGGGACCACAUUCUCAUACCUGUGAACGCUCCCUUACUUGUUAAACUAAAAAAAUAUAUCCUCCUCGUCAUUCCCCUCAAAUAAUCCUUUUGUACAACGGUACAGUCAUUUUUCUCGUUUGCAGAUUGUCAGGAGCUCAGGGUCUUUCAUGUAUUUGCUCUAAUGAGUCACAUUAUUAGAUGGUCAAAUUGUCAGACUUGUCGUGUGAACACCUUUAGGAUGCCCCUGGCAUCCUUGAAAGCAUUCUUCCUUUCUGGCGACUGUAAAGAUGAUCCAGAACUUUCUGUCCUGAUUUCCUCUUGCCUCAACACAAGAAAUCUGUGGAGUCCUGAUUCCAUUAAUAGAGAACAAGUGUUAAAGAUCAAAAUCCGGGCUGGGUGCGGUAGCUCACGCCUGUAAUCCCAGGACUUUGGGAGGCCGAGAUGGGCAGGUCACCUGAGGUCAGGAGUUCGAGACAAGCCUGGCCAACAUGAUGAAACCCUGUCUCUACUAAAAAUACAAAAAUUACAUGGGCAUGGUGGCGGGAGCCUGUAAUCCCAGCUACUCGGGAGGCUGAGCCAGGAGAAUCGCUUGAACCCGGGAGGUGGAGGUUGCAAUGGGCCAAGAUCGCGUCAGUGCACUCCAGCCUGGGCAUCAAGAGCAAGACUCCAUCUCAAAAAAAAAAAAAAUCAAAAUCUGGCUGCACUGGGACUUACUCCUGGUAGUGACAAAGCUGGAACAUUUCUUUUUGAGAUUAUGAAUUUAUAUAGAUAGUUUCAAUUCAGCAUAAUGCCUCUCUGAACUUCACUUUAAAAAAACAUAUAGGUUAUCAUUUCCAUGAUCAAGACUUUUGGUUCCCCAACAGGACCAAGGCGGCUUGAGGAAGAAUCAAGGGUAGUAUCGGCUUCAGGAAGUAACAAAGCACAGGCAGGGUCCUCUGCGAAGUGAUGCAGAUGAAACCCCAGGAAUGAAUGACACGCUCAGUACCUGCCAGGCACCGCUCUGAGAACUUCAUCCGCAUUAUGUUACUUAAUCAUCACGGCCCCCUGCCAGGAGGAUCAUUAUGCCUGCUUUACAGAAAAGACUUACAGGUUAAAGUGCCUAAGGUCCUGCAGUCUCCAAACCUGGCCAAUCCACCCGCAGAGCCCAUGCUCUGAACCACCGCACCACAUGGCCAGGUGAGGGCCGUCUCGGUCCCCAAAUGAGCCGCCUACGCAUACACUGCCAAGCCUUUGCCCACGCUGUUGGCUCUCCCCUGCUGUGCUUGGAACGCCUACUUGACCUUCAAAUUCCAGCCUGAGUCCUCCACCUCCUCUGUGCUCCUGACUCCUUGUGCAUCUCCACACACAUUAGAGCUGUGUGUGUGUGUGUGUGUCCCUCAGGGCACACACGCAAGGGCAGGUUCUGCGCUUCAUUCAUUUGCAUCCACACUGCACAGUGCCUGACACACAGAUGGUGCUCAAGACAUACUUGAUGAAGGAAGAAAGAGGGAAACCUGGAUCUCAGGUAGCUCAGGGAAAUGCUUCUAUCACCUGGCACGAGCUGAGGGAUCCCCGCUCCCGCCUGUCAUUUUAUAUUUAUUAAAAGGGACCUACCCCGUCUCCUGCUCCAUGCAGCACCUUAAAUAUUAGGUGGCUGCUUUUCUCAAAAUGAGAGUCUUUCCUGCUAAGGAAAACAAUAGCCUGAUUUGCUCCUGUCCUCAAGAUUUCUGGUAACAAUCUCAGAGGUCAGCGAGGAAAACUGGAGUGGGGUAGAGGGCCAAGGACUUAUAGUCUCCUUCAGGGGCUUGGGGGCUUGGGAGAAACCCCACAAACCCAGCAGGCUCUUGCUGGCUGGCUGGCUGAUGAUCAUGCCCUCUCUCUCUCUCUUUCUCUCUGUCUGUCUCUCUCUCUCUCUUUCUCCCUCUCUGUCUCUCUCUCUCUCUCCUACUCCCUCUUCCCCUCCACUUCUCUCUUUGUACCUCUUGCCCUCCUUCUUCUGUUUUCUCUCUCUCUCUCUCUCUCUCACACACACACACACACACACACAGACACACACACACAAACACACACACACACACAUAGAGCCUUGGUAACUAGUGGUUACAAAAAAAGCCCAAAUUCAGCCACAGCCACACUCCGUCAAAUGAGAAAUCCUCUGCUAAUACACGGGCAUGACAAGUUUCUUCCAAAGCAUCUCAUAUGCGUUGCUGUGCAGUCGCCAGUGAACGUGAGUCCAGCCGCCUGCACCACCGCCUUCCCGUGCGUAUGCCUCGGAGCAUUGUUCGUCAGGAUUCCUCAGAUGGAAAAGUUGUGAACAUUUGGGCAGUGCCAGGGCUGGCGUUGCAGAGCCUGCUUUAAUGAGUGCAUAAUUAACACCGUGGGCUUCUGCCAAUGGCCAGCACUUAAGUCCUUGAAAACAGUCUGUUCCCUGAAAUAGGUUAAACGCCCCUCCACCGCCACUGCUACCUCGUUUACACCACUGACUCAGCCACAAUGCCUAUAUAUGUGAAGAAAAAAAUCCCCAAAGAAAUUAUUAGUGUUGGCAUAGCAACAAUAUGUUAAUUGUGUCUUUCCUAAAGCAGGCCCAGCAGGACCACCACCCGGGGUUGGUCCAGUUUCUGUGCACUUUAAAAUAGAAGAAAACUGCACUCUUCUGACUAGGUGCUGUAUUGCAGAAUCUCCCCACCAUGUAACCCAAGUUAAUAAGGUUUAGGUGAUUUUUUAAUGCCUCCAUGCUAAAAUAGAAAAAAAAAAAAAAAAAAAAGCUAAGACUUGAUCCAUAAAACUAUCUUGAUGUCAAGACAUUGAACAGAAAAAAGAUCAUUGUUGUCUGCCUUGGUCCUCCACCCCCGUAACUUCUCUGAUGCAUCUCUGAAGCCUAACUACUCAAUGAAGGAGGGCUCCUGAAUUUGCGGAGGUGAACAGCUUAUGACCAUUAUUACACUUUGGGGUGCAAACGAUAAAGAUCCCAACUCAAAUGAGCUAACCAGGAAAGAAGAGUGUUGGCUGCUUAGAAGGACAUCCAGAUGGGGGCUUCGGGCUAGUGGACUGCACAGUUUGAGGCUGUAACUAAGGGCUUGGCUGUUUUCCAGGUCUCUGUUCUUCCAUUCUCAGUACUGAUGGCAGAAGACUGGGCCCCUAUGAGCACCACUACUAGCAUCCCAGCAAAGGAGGAGAGAGAAACAGAGACAGAGGGAGAGGGACAGAAACAGAGAGAUAAGGAGAGCCAGAGAGAGAAGGGAUCUGGCUUCUCAUCCCUCCACAAAUGGAAGAACAUUUUCCCAGAGACUUUCAGCAAACCACUUCCUGCAUCUCAUUUUAUGGCAGAAUCAGGUCACACAUGCCCAUUCCAGAACUAGUCAGUAGCAAGGAAGAUGGGAUUAUUCUCCCCGGCACCGGAGCACUCCUUGAACUGAAGGUGAUUGUUCAAACUAAAGUCCUACUGUCCCCUGUGCCAGGGGCGGACUGGGCAUUGGAGAGGCCACUGCUGUGUUCACCACAUGAGCACAUAUAUUCUACCACUCUUGCCUCCAGCUAGUCAGGCUCAAGCUUGGGCUCACUCACAAGGGAGCCCACAAAGCAGUGGGAGCUUCAGAGGACGGAGUCCAGUGAUCCUCCUUUCGCGUGGGGAAGUGGCAAAUCCACUCUUUAACACGGCUCUUUAAUUCUCAGGGAUGACGGGUGAGCCUCUCUGGGCAGGAGCACUGGG